rnacentral:misc_RNA from 1 species
GACAGGUUCAGAUUUUCCUUUGGCCAGUUAAAAACCACCUUGGAAAAAUCUGGAGAUAUUGAUAGCCUAGGAUAUCUCUUGUUUAAAGACAAAUAGUCUCUUUGAACAUCCACCAAGCAGAAAGGAUAAACCUUGCAGACAUAUUCUCUCUUUUUCUCUUUAACUGGAGAAUGGCGCCUAUGCACAGUCUCACGGCGUGGUGUGAUUCGACGUGAAGAUCUUUCAUCUCUCGGUAAUGAAGAGCCUUGGCGAUCUCUGGUACUCCUUGGCGGACUGCGUUCCCGCCUAGGAGCAGUUGCACGCUUGCGAUCUCGUUCUCUCUCCCUAUCCCUGUCUCUGCGCUCCCGAACACGAUCUCUUUCCCGUUCUCGUUCGCGUUCAC